ensembl:lncRNA
UUGGGUGUCUGGUAUCUGUUUGGUAUACACUUUUAAUAUUCAUCUCUAACUGCUACCAACCCCCGGGUCCACCCACUAGGACGUACUUGUGAUAUAACAGAUUACAGGUAUAUCGAUGAAGAUGAUCAGUGCAUGAGUCUGGCAACCUUCUCGUCCCGGCUGCUGUGGCCCCUCCUUUGGAAAGGCAUAACCUCUCCUAAUCCCCCUCCCCCGGUUUCCGUGGAGACGGCUCAGACGAGCAGGUGACGCAUUGACAGGGAGCAGAUGGUUGCCCGUGGAGGCACCUUGUUAUCUGUCCUUUGUCAGUAAGGCCAUCCUGUGGGACCGGGCAUUCAACCAGUGGACAGACCAUACUGCCCCUGAUGGACGUCCCUCCCUGUGUCCUCGUUUCCUGGCCCACAUGAAGGCCUGUCCUGCAGACCUUAGACCCCGAUGUUUCCUAUCCAGCAAGCCCAGGCCACGACCUCCUCAGCAGGGACAGACUGAAGUAAGACAAUCCUUGAGUGCACCGAAGAUGCAUGCAUAUACAGUGUCCAGGAGCAGACCGCAGUACCCCAACACCACCAGGAGGAGGUGCUCCGCUGUUGUUGUUCCCUGUGUUCCAACACCAGUUUCACCCUGUCCCAGCAGAGCCUCCCCUGAGCUCCGUGUCACUGAAUCUAGGCCACCAAGUAUCAAUCCCCA